GGUAGCGUGGCUUAGUGGAAAGGACACUGGCCUGGUAGUCAGAGGACCUGAGUUCUAAUCCCAGCGCUGCCA
rnacentral:tRNA from 1 species